GACGAACGCUGGCGGCGUGCCUAACACAUGCAAGUCGAACGGAAAGGCCCUGCUUUUGUGGGGUGCUCGAGUGGCGAACGGGUGAGUAACACGUGAGUAACCUGCCCUUGACUUUGGGAUAACUUCAGGAAACUGGGGCUAAUACCGGAUAGGAGCUCCUGCUGCAUGGUGGGGGUUGGAAAGUUUCGGCGGUUGGGGAUGGACUCGCGGCUCAUCAGCGUGUUGGUGGGGUAGUGGCUUACCAAGGCUUUGACGGGUAGCCGGCCUGGGAGGGUGACCGGCCACAUUGGGACUGAGAUACGGCCCAGACUCCUACGGGAGGCAGCAGUGGGGAAUAUUGCACAAUGGGCGGAAGCCUGAUGCAGCAACGCCGCGUGCGGGAUGACGGCCUUCGGGUUGUAAACCGCUUUCGCCUGUGACGAAGCGUGAGUGACGGUAAUGGGUAAAGAAGCACCGGCUAACUACGUG
rnacentral:rRNA from 1 species